CGUUGAAUCUGCACUUUACACUGCUCAUGUGUUAUACCCUGUGGUCUUAAUGAUCAGGCUGAUUGGAAUCCUUAAAAUCCUGAAUCCGGAUCAUGAUCCGGAUCGCCACCAAAAUCUAAUGGACUGUUCAUUGUGCUACACCCCAACCCUCC